CUGGGCGUUAAGUUGCAGGGUAUAGACCCGAAACCCGGUGAUCUAGCCAUGGGCAGGUUGAAGGUUGGGUAACACUAACUGGAGGACCGAACCGACUAAUGUUGAAAAAUUAGCGGAUGACUUGUGGCUGGGGGUGAAAGGCCAAUCAAACCGGGAGAUAGCUGGUUCUCCCCGAAAGCUAUUUAGGUAGCGCCUCGUGAAUUCAUCUCCGGGGGUAGAGCACUGUUUCGGCAAGGGGGUCAUCCCGACUUACCAACCCGAUGCAAACUGCGAAUACCGGAGAAUGUUAUCACGGGAGACACACGGCGGGUGCUAACGUCCGUCGUGAAGAGGGAAACAACCCAGACCGCCAGCUAAGGUCCCAAAGUCAUGGUUAAGUGGGAAACGAUGUGGGAAGGCCCAGACAGCCAGGAUGUUGGCUUAGAAGCAGCCAUCAUUUAAAGAAAGCGUAAUAGCUCACUGGUCGAGUCGGCCUGCGCGGAAGAUGUAACGGGGCUAAACCAUGCACCGAAGCUGCGGCAGCGACACUAUGUGUUGUUGGGUAGGGGAGCGUUCUGUAAGCCUGUGAAGGUGGCCUGUGAGGGUUGCUGGAGGUAUCAGAAGUGCGAAUGCUGACAUAAGUAACGAUAAAGCGGGUGAAAAGCCCGCUCGCCGGAAGACCAAGGGUUCCUGUCCAACGUUAAUCGGGGCAGGGUGAGUCGACCCCUAAGGCGAGGCCGAAAGGCGUAGUCGAUGGGAAACAGGUUAAUAUUCCUGUACUUGGUGUUACUGCGAAGGGGGGACGGAGAAGGCUAUGUUGGCCGGGCGACGGUUGUCCCGGUUUAAGCGUGUAGGCUGGUUUUCCAGGCAAAUCCGGAAAACCAAGGCUGAGGCGUGAUGA
rnacentral:rRNA from 1 species